CGAAAGAGCCCAACUCUUUACCACCCUCUCCCCAAGCCUUUCCUUCCUCUCUCUCUAACUCUGUCCCUCUUCUCUAUCUUUCGGCCAAAUUGAGAAAUUCUCAAUCCCGUCGCCUUCACCAACAAUCCGGUUCUGAUUCUCCCAAUUUGCGGCCUUAAAUUCAUCUGAGAUUGCUUGGAUUUCGAUUGGAGUGGAGCUGGAGGAACUCACCGCCGGGAUUGCUGCUGCUCGUCCCCUUCUCGCCGUCGCUGCGAAGUCCAGCCGCCAUAGUCUUCGGCUGGCUGUCAACACCGUUCAUCCGAGCAGCCAUGUCUCCUUCGCCGUCAGACGCCGUCAGACGCGACACCGCCGCUGUGGAGUCACCACUGCUCUGAUGUCGCUGUUGUGCACUAACACCGCGCGCAGCAGUAGUUCGUCGCCCCGAUGGCUGCUGUUCGGCAGCCCGUGCACUCCCAGGUUGUCGCCGCAGGGAGCCGCUGCUCCGUCGGUGGAGUUGCUGCCCCAAAACCAAUCCGAACAGCCACCGCGCAGCCCCAAAACGUCCCGAACCGAACAACCCCGAAGCAGCCCCACAAGAAUUAAUUGUGGAAGAUGGAGAGGGGAAGAGUUGAAAGAUGGAGAGUCUCCAUGGUGGAAGAAAUAGGCCAAGAGGAAAAAAAGUGUUGGGCUUGCUCCCACACAUUAUUUAUUCAUAGGCCAAAAAUGAUUUAUUUUGUUGUAAAUAAAUCAAGCCCAAAUUUUAUUUAUUUGCCAUAUAGUUCUUCUA